AUCCGUGUUUAAGUUGCCAUUAUUUUAUUUGAAGUAAAGUGGAGAAAACUUUAUUAUGACAUUUAAGAAAGUGAAAUGUCUGUAAAUACUGGCAACACAGAUACCUAUAUUCGUGCCGAGGAAAACAGUGAAGGAGUAUCUUCUAACACAGUUUGCGAUAUUACGAUAUUGUUUGAAAACAACCAACAAAUUACUGUCAACAAAACUUUACUUCAACAAAUGUCACCGGUCUUAAGAGCGAUGCUUGGAGGGCAGUUUAAAGAAGCUUCCACUGGUAAAAUAGUUAUACAGCAUUGUUCCAAAGAUGAUUUUGUGAACUUCUUGGAAAGUUGCGAUCCCCGGAUGAUGAAGCCUGUAAAUAGAUCUGAGGAAUGAAUGGAUGACAGAAAGACAGGACGGGAGAUAAAGCCUUCAAGAAUAAAUAGUUGUGGCACGAAGAUGUGUAUGUGAUUGCAAAAAUCAAUAUUUAAAAGAUAAUUUGCUUAUGUAUUAAUUUUACUAUUGUUUUUGCUAAUUUCUCCAGUUACAUAUUGUGUGAUUAUUUAA